GGUGGUAGCUCAAUUGGUAGAGCUUUAGCCUUCCAAGCUAAUGGUUGUGGGUUCGAGUCUCAUCCAC
rnacentral:tRNA from 1 species